rfam:Shewanella algae strain BrY contig_38_1, whole genome shotgun sequence.
AGAUAGCCAACCCUGUCGGAUCUCAACAUUAGCGCACGGCUCAACCAUGAGCCAUUCCCCUAGGCCCAAAACAAUUGGAAUAGUUUUGGGCCUUUUUUU